ACCUCAGAUCAGGCAAGACUACCCGCUGAAUUUAAGCAUAUUAAUA
rnacentral:rRNA from 1 species